rnacentral:lncRNA from 1 species
CGCAGUCAGACCACCUGUGUCCACAGCCCAGAUGCCCACUUGCCAGCUGAGGGGUGGCCCAAGUUGCUUUGAGGCCCCGGGAUGAUAACAGCGCCUACCGUAGGAGGUUUGUGAAGAGUAAAUGAAAGAAUGCAUGGAAUGUUCUUAGGGAGGUGACCGGCCCAUGUGGGUUGUUCAAUAAGCCUGGGCUCUGAGGUAGAGGUUGCAUCUGCGUCCGGCUCUUGCAACGCCCCAUUAACCCCUCAAGGGCGGUUCCCACACCCUCCUCACCCGUCAACGACCUAGAGCCUGGCACAGUGCACUGCAUGUGGGACAGACCUGUGAGCCUGACCAGCAGCCAAGGAGCCCAGACGAGGCCACAUCCACCGACAGAAGCUGCAUGGCUAUUGGGAUGAGAGGCAGGAUGUCCUGCCACCCUGGGACAGUCCCCACCAUCGGUCCAGCCUUGCCCGGAGAGCUGGACUGGGAGAAGCCGGCCGGCACAAAGACCAGACAAAAACCGAGUCCCAGGGGACGGCUGGGAACUGGGGACAUGGAGCCGGAGAAGAGAAGACUCAGGAGAAAGUCGAUCAACCCAGGAAGUGGAGAUAACCACCUUCUAUGCGCCAGCCAUUGUUCUCCAAGGAACAGCCCUGGGGACACUGGCUCACUUCUGGAGGUGACCGGAGAGUGUAUCCAGCUGAGAUGAGGCUGGAAAAACACCAUAACGCAAGUGCCCUCAGAUGAAGCAAGUGGUGAUGCCACGUGGCUGUGGGGUCAACAGUCUGGCUGGAGGAUCCCAGAUCUCGGACUUCAUCUGCAGUUUGGCUCUUCCUGGUUCUGCUCCACUGGAACAUCGGGUCUCCCGGGUCUCCAGCCUGCCAGCCUACCCUGGAAGUUUUGGACAUGCCAGCCUCCAUAAUCAUGAGAGCCAGUACCUUAAAAUAAAUCUCUUUCUCUCUAUAUAUAUGCACAUCCUACCAGUUCUGUUUUUCUGGAGAACCCUGGCUGACACAGUCACCGUAUCUCCCAAUGAUUUUGGGAUGAAGCCUCUUGUGCAAAUUCCUUUUACAAAUAAGUGCUAGAGAGACAUACACUCUCCCUGAGGAGCCGGUAUAUUCUCCCCAAGGGUCAUUCCU